rnacentral:lncRNA from 13 species
AUACCCCUGCCCGUGAAGGAGAGUGAGUGAAUUAAAAGGAUCUGAAGAACGGACCCUUUGUUUAAGGCUGACAGAGAUCUGAAGUUGCCAACCAUUUCCAGUGAUAGACUUCCUUUCAUUUGGCGGAGGAAGUUAGAAGACUUUCAAAGGUGUGAACUACAUUUCCCAGAAUUCCCCUUGCCAUCUGAUCAUCAGUGGGCAUCUGUGGAGGUGGAAAAGAGAAGCUCCAGGAGAAGCUGCAGGCAGGUGUGUGAGCAGACUGGAGGUCCGAGCUGCUUCUAGGUGUUCUUGAGAAUUGUCACAUUGAUACUGCAGACAGAGCUGGUUGGUGGAGCUGUCCAUGGAAUUCUUGAGUUUCAUGACAGCUUUAAGUGAAUGCUUGUGAUCGCCACUUGCUUGAAGAAUGAAGAGUUUGAGUGAGGAGCUUUUCAGAGGUUUGACAGAUUGGCAGCAGUGUUUGCCUCAUCUCUGGAGAACCAUCUAUGUUGGUGCUUCAGGCUGACAUAUAUGGUAGUGGCUUUGCUGACUUUUGCAUCCCAAAUCUUCCAAUCUUGGAAAAGCUUGAAUUCUCAUACUAAAACCUUCCUAUCUUGAAUAAAGGAGUGUCUCUGGUUUCCCCCCGUGAAGCC